rnacentral:rRNA from 1 species
ACUGAACGCUGGCGGCAGGCUUAACACAUGCAAGUCGAGCGGGGGAAGGUAGCUUGCUACCGGACCUAGCGGCGGACGGGUGAGUAAUGCGUAGGAAUCUGCCUAUGAGUGGGGGACAACAUCGCGAGAGGGAUGCUAAUACCGCAUACGUCCUACGGGAGAAAGCAGGGGAUCUUCGGACCUUGCGCUAAUAGAUGAGCCUAAGUCGGAUUCGCUAGUUGGUGGGGUAAAGGCCUACCAAGGCGCCGCUCUGUAGCGGGUCUGAGAGGAUGAUCCGCCACACUGAGACUGAGACACGGCCCAGACUACUACGGGAGGCAGCAGUGGGGAAUAUUGGACAAUGGGGGGAACCCUGAUCCAGCCAUGCCGCGUGUGUGAAGAAGGCCUUAUGGUUGUAAAGCACUUUAAGCGAGGAGGAGGCUACUCUAGUUAAUACCUAGGGAUAGUGGACGUUACUCGCAGAAUCAGCACCGGCUAACUCUGUGCCAGCCGCCGCAGUAA